rnacentral:rRNA from 1 species
GACGAACGCUGGCGGCGUGCCUAAUACAUGCAAGUAGAACGCACAGUUUAUACCGUAGCUUGCUACACCAUAGACUGUGAGUUGCGAGCGGGUGAGUAACGCGUAGGUAACCUGCCUGGUAGCGGGGGAUAACUAUUGGAAACGAUAGCUAAUACCGCAUAAUAUUAAUUAUUGCAUGAUAAUUAAUUGAAAGGUGCAAUUGCACCACUACCAGAUGGACCUGCGUUGUAUUAGCUAGUAGGUGAGGUAACGGCUCACCUAGGCGACGAUACAUAGCCGACCUGAGAGGGUGAUCGGCCACACUGGGACUGAGACACGGCCCAGACUCCUACGGGAGGCAGCAGUAGGGAAUCUUCGGCAAUGGACGAAAGUCUGACCGAGCAACGCCGCGUGAGUGAAGAAGGGUUUCGGAUCGUAAAGCUCUGUUGUAAGAGAAGAACGGGUGUGAGAGUGGAAAGUUCACACUGUGACGGUAUCUUACCAGAAAGGGACGGCUAACUACGUG